ensembl:lncRNA
AUUUUUUCGAUCAUUGAUUCCAUGGCCAAAUUUCAACUGAUAUACAUUCUCAAUUAUAAUAAGUAAGCAUUAUAUUACAGUUAUCACAAGACUUGUCUGAAGGUCCCAUGGUACCAGUUGAAAGAAACGAACGGAGGUAUGGAGACUGUUUAGUGACAAGAAUAAGGGGUUAAAUACAUGUAAAAAAUCCUGAUCUUUCAUAAAUCUCUCAGAUAUUGGACAGACACUUCAGAACAAACUUCCUUUUGAUCUGUUGUUCCGUGUAGUGAAUCUAUUAUUCGAUGCAUUUGAAUAUGCUAAUAGCAGUAAGGUCCCCCAAAAAAUUCAUCCAAUCAUAUUUUUCUUCUGUUUUUUUUUUUAUUCUUCAAGGGGUCUUAAAAUUCAAAAAUCAAACAGCCAAAUGAUCCUUAGUAGAACCCCCACCCUCUGGCUUAGACAGGUUUUAAUAGGAAAGAGGAACCAAUUGUAGAUCGCAACAAAAUAUUUAUCUAUCACAUGCAGUAAGUUCCUCUGGAUAAGAGCGUCUGCUGAAUGACCAAAAUGUAAAUGUAAAAACAAAAACACUUGCAAAGCAUUCUGGAUAUUAUUCUAAUGAGCUCCGCCCCCAAACAAGUACAAAUUUGGCCGGUGCGGACCAGAUCCAAAUCUGAACGAAUCAUAGACGUCUAGGCUGUUUCACAAGUUUGAACAUCACAGUACAGUACGGCACAGUUUAGCACAGUAGAGUACGGUAGUUUUAUUCAGUCGAGUACAAUACAGUAGAGUUGAAUUAGAGUAGAGUACAGUAAUUCAGUACAUUAGAGUACACUACAGUAAAGUAUAGUUUAAUUCAGUACAAUACAUGUUAAUUCAGUAGAGUACAGUACAGUAUAGUUUAAUUCAGUAGAGUACAUGUUAAUUCAGUACAGUACAGUAUAGUUUAAUUCAGUAGAGUACAAUAGAGUACACUAUACUUUACUGUACUAAGUUACUGUACACUGCUGUCCAAACCUGUGAAACAUAGAUGUCUAUGAUUGGUUCAGAUUUGGUCCGGACCAAAAUUCAACAUCCCUGGGGGAUGAAAUUUAAAAAAUAUUUUUGAAAGACUGAGGACCGAAAAGAGAUGUCCAGAAGACAUCAAAACGCUUACUGGGAUGCUGUUUUAAGGGCAGUGGGGAUACAGGCCUAACAGUCAUAUUAUGCCAAUAAGUCCCUCCAAUGAUCUACUCUACUUAACCUAUACAGGUGCUCAUUCUCACAUAACCUACAGCAUACACAUUCACUAAGUUUAAUUCUCAUUGAUGGCAUGGCAGUAUUGAUCAAUCCAGAUCGGAGAUCUACCUGUAUCCCCCAUAUAAAAAGGUACUGUCCAUCUUGACUGUCUCCCAAACAAAAUCAACAAUAACCACAAACAUUCAUCCCACCACUCAAAAAUCACAAACCACCACUCCCCUUCCAGUAUCCUGAAGAAUACGUUUCCAUCCCCUACUUUCUCAUUUUAAUCAAGGACCCUUACCAUAAACCUGGUUGGUAGUUGGUAUCUUCUACCCAACCCUACCCUUUAAACCUAAACCAGGAUCAUAUCCUCUACCCAACCCUUCCCCUUGAACCAGGAUCAUAUCCUCUAUCCAACCCUUCCCCUUGAACCAGGAUCAUAUCCUCUACCCAACCCUUCCCCUUGAACCAGGUUAAUAUCCUCUAUCCAACCCUUCCCUUUAAACCAGGAUCAUAUCCUCUAUCCAACCCUUCCCUUUAAACCAGGUUAAUAUCCUCUAUCCAACCCUUCCCUUUAAACCAGGUUAAUAUCCUCUAUCCAACCCUUUAUUUUAUUUUAUAUUUUUUUUACUUUUACUUCUUUACAUUUUUUAAUCCAUUAAAGUUUGUUUUAAUCAAAUCAAAUCAAGUCGAAGUAUAAAAAUGAGAACUCCAUCACCCUUGUACCGUUACCUUGCCAAAACCUUCACCAUACAUGCAGAAGAGGGUUAGAAGAGGAAGUCCUGAGGUGUCCCUGCCAGUCCCAGAGCUCUCAACUGUCUCCCUACUCCAUUAGUCUCUGUCAUCAAACACGUUUAGAUUGUUGUUUUUUGUUGACAUUUUGACAGUAUAUCAAUAUGUCCCCUCUAAAAGAUACAAAGGACAAGGUCAAAGGACAUACGGGGUUGCCCGAGUCCCUGAAACCGCCAACGUCUCACCUCUCUCCGGAACGCUGCGGUCGCACACCUAAAACCAAUCCCGGAGACAGUCUGGACAGCCUAUGCUACUGCUCUGGUGUUGCAUCGCUAUUUCGGUAUAUAUUAUAUCUAUUUAUAACAAGGCACGGUAUCAUUCGACAAUUUUAUAUCAUGGCUACAGACGGAGUUGACAACCACCACUAACGUUAGGCAAAUCAAGUCAAUAAGCUACACAGCGGACGUUUAUAAAAGGUACCCACGUGUAUGGUCGCUGUCUUCCUCUGGCGGUGCGCUACAACAUGCCACAAAGAUAAUAUAUAGGUGCUCCAACACGCACUGGAAAAUUAUAUCAACAUCUUUGUUUCAAUCCUUCUUGGUUAAUAGAAAGUUGGCAAAGGUAGACAGUAACACUGAAGCUGUCCCGAAAGGGUCCGUGUCUGUCUGAGUAUGCGAGUGGAGUACGGAUGUGUAAACGGAGCCGACUCCGAGGAUGUCACGACUCGUGGAUGUUUCCUCUUGUUGACUUGAGUUCGCAGCGCCAGCUGCAACUGUAUCUAGUCGAGUCCGCGUAACACAAGCGUCUGCAAGUGUCUGUGGAAUGUGUGUAGACUAGAGUGUGUGUGUUUGUGCGCGCACCGUAGUAUUUCCACCGGUCUGUCUGUGCUGAGAGUGCAUGGAGAAACUGCUAAACGAGAGACUGUCCCACGCUAUGAGUUCUGGAGCUGUGCCAGUGCCAAGAUGAGUUAGUAGACAACCGGUUUUAAAUCUGCAGUCUG